rnacentral:lncRNA from 1 species
UCACUAGGAGGGUGGUGAAGCACUGGAAUGGGUUACCUAGGGAGGUGGUGGAAUCUCCAUCAGAAGAGGUUUUUAAGGCCUGGCUUGACAAAGCCCUGGCUGGGAUGAUUUAGUUGGUGUUGGUCCUGCUUUGAGCAGGGGAUUAAACUAGAUGACCUCCUGAUGUCUCUUCCAACCCUAAUCUUCUAUGAUUCUAUGAUUAUCUCCCAUAAAUGUAAACAGACUUCUUUGUCUUAGCGAUUGGCUGAACAAAAAGUAGGACUGAAUGGACUUCUAAGCGCUAAAAUUUUACAUUGUUUUAUUUUUGAGUUCAGUUAUGUAACAAAAAAAACUACAUUGGCAAAUUACACUUUCAUGAUAAAGAGAUUGCACUACAGUACGUGCAUAAGGUGAACUGAAAAAUACCAUUUCUUUUGUUUAUCAUUUUUACAGUGCAAUUAUUUGUAAUAAAAAAUAAUAAUAUAAAGUGAUCACUGUACACUUUGUAUUCUGCGUUGUAAUAGAAAUAAAUAUAUUUGCAAAUGUAGAAAAACAUCCAAAAUAUGUAAUAAAUUUCAAUUGGUAUUCUAUUGUUUAAUAGUGUAAUUAAUCAUGAUUAAGUUUUUUAAUGGUGAUUAAUUUUUUUGAGUUAAUCGCGUGAGUUAACUGCAAAUAAUCGAUAGCCCUAUUUCAGGCCUUAAAAUCUACGAAUCUGUGAAGGAGGGGUGGGGACUGUUGGGUAUCUGAGGAUAUUAAGGCCAGGGGAAGCCAUGACAGUGGGUCUCACAUGGUGACAGAUGCACUGAAAACACCUAGAUGGACACAGUGAGAGGUUGGACCGGGCAUUGUCUGUGGCAUUUGGCCCAUGGUACAUUCUGAUGGUUUUAAAGGAGACAUGCAUAAUUAAAAUAACCCACCCUGAGUAACCGUCUCUGUUCCUUCCUGGUAGGUGGCGACGCAGCAGUCUCGGUGCUGAUUGUCCAGAAAAUGGCAGAAGAGAGCGCCGAAGCGACAAGCGAUACCAGUAGAGGGGUUAAUGACUCAAUGCUGCCGGGUCACGGACAAGUGGAAGAAAGGAGAAGAGAUGUGGGUAAAUAAUUAUUUAUUAGGCACAAUAUGGUAACAUCUAGAGACAGCAGCUGAGCCCCAUUGCGUGCUGCACAGACCCAGAGGGAGAGACAGUCCCUGCCCCAGCUGAGAUUAGGUCCCCAUUGUUCUGGGCGCUGCACAAACACACAGCAAGAGAGUGGGCUGUAGUCCACGAAAGCUUAUGCUCUAAUAAAUUCGUUAGUCUCUAAGGUGCCA